rnacentral:rRNA from 1 species
GGAGGCGAAGUGGCGACAUGGAGCGAAUCCAAAAACAACGCCCCAGUUCGGAUUGUAGUCUGCAACCCGACUACAUGGAGCCGGAAUCGCUAGUAAUCGCGGAUCAGAAUGCCGCGGUGAAUACGUUCCCGGGUCUUGUACACACCGCCCGUCACACCAUGGGAGUCGGGAAUGCCCGAAGUCAGUGACCCAACCCAAGGGAGGGAGCUGCCGAAGGCAGGCCUGGUGACUGGGGUGAAGUCGUAACAAGGUAAC